AGAGUUUGAUCCUGGCUCAGAUUGAACGCUGGCGGUAUGCUUAAGACAUGCAAGUCGAACGGUAACAGGCUUUUCGGAGCGCUGACGAGUGGCGGACGGGUGAGUAACGCGUGGGAAUCUGCCCAGUAGCGGGGGAUAACCCGACGAAAGUCGGCGUAAUACCGCAUACGCCCUACGGGGGAAAGGCUACGGCCACUAUUGGAUGAGCUUGCGUUAGAUUAGCUAGUUGGUGAGGUAAGUGCUCACCAAGGCGACGAUCUAUAGCUGGUCUGAGAGGAUGAUCAGCCACAUCGGGACUGAGACACGGCCCGGACUCCUACGGGAGGCAGCAGUCGGGAAUAUUGGACAAUGGGCGAAAGCCUGAUCCAGCAAUACCGCGUGUGUGAAGAAGGCCUGCGGGUUGUAAAGCACUUUCGUUAGGGACGAAACUGACGGUACCUAAAGAAGAAGCACCGGCUAACUCCGUGCCAGCAGCCGCGGUAAUACGGAGGGGGUUAGCGUUGUUCGGAAUUACUGGGCGUAAAGCGUACGUAGGCGGAUCAGAAAGUUGGGGGUGAAAUCCCGGGGCUCAACCCCGGAACUGCCUCCAAAACUCCUGGUCUUGAGUUCGAGAGAGGUGAGUGGAAUUCCGAGUGUAGAGGUGAAAUUCGUAGAUAUUUGGAGGAACACCAGUGGCGAAGGCGGCUCUCUGGGUCAUAUCUGACGCUCAGAUGCGAAAGCUAGGGGAGAGAACGGGAUUAGAAACCCCGGUAUUCCUAGCCGUAAACGAUGUCAACUAAGUGUAGGAGGUUAUAAACCCCUUCUGUGCUGAAGCAAACGCGGUAAGUUGACCGCCUGGGGACUACGGCCGCAAGGCUAAAACUCAAAGGAAUUGACGGGGGCCCGCACAAGCGGUGGAGCAUGU
rnacentral:rRNA from 1 species